GUUUCAAUGUGCUGUGCAAUUGUUAUAUAUUUGCGGUAUGUGAAAACCGUCGCAUAAGUACGCGUUCUCAAGUACAUGCAACCUAUAAAGUUCUUUAAAAUGUGAUGAGAGAUCAGGCUCUAUCUUUGUGGAUGUAGAUCCUCUUUCAAUGGCAGGCAAGGAGCGUAACCAAGCAGUAUUAAAUAUAAAAUUGUACUAAACUAAGAUGUAUACAACAACCUGUUAAACCUGCUAAUAAGCCGAAUUGUAGUACUCAGCAGACGCCUGCGGAAAAUAGUUUGUUAUAAAGCUGUCAAAUCAGUAGGCAAGCGAAUAACAAUAUAGUUGCCAUGCUGACAUCGUUUAUAUGCAACAGCCAACUAAUUCUUUGGAAAAAUUUUAAAAUGAAUAUUGCAUUAUUAGUGACGUUUUCCUUAAUAUGCUCAUCGCAAUCAAUAUUAGUGGAUGAAGAAGUCGGCAGUGCUGUGAUCUUGAAUAACACGAGCUACCGAACAAGUGGAAAAUCAAUUU